AGUAAUACAGUGCAAUUUCCCCAUUCCCAUUUCCCCUCUUCCACGUUCCACCGAUCAAAAUCCCUAAGCCCGUGCCCUCCUCCCUUUUUUUCCCAAUUCGAAAAUCAACCUUCACCUCCACCAAUCCACCUCACCGAUCCACCUCCGGUCCUCCACGGCUCCACCCAAUUCCAGAAUCAGAGGUUAGAGCGGUGCUUCUACGUCUUCUACCUUUAUAUUUCAAAGGUAUGCUGAAAGUCUCUGAACUCUGUUGUCAAGCCAAAGGAAUUGCAAUUCAGUCAUGGAGAACAUUUGGGAGCAAAAGGAGCGAGAAAUGAGUGAAAAUCGAAAAAUUAGAGCAACGUACAGGAGUCACACAGGCUGCCCCUUCAACAUGGCCUGGCCACACGGUUGUAUGAGUCAUAUGGGCUACCACACGACAAUGUGACAGGUCGUGUCAAUUUCACGAAUUUGAAUCCUAAACUGCGAAAAAUAUGAUUUUUUGGUUUUUUCAACAUUGAAAAAAAAAAGAAUAUAAGAGAGGAUCGUUAUAGAAUAGUAAAUAAAAAUACUUGAAAAACACCACUGAAGCCGAUUCUGAAGUAGAUUUCUGUCGAGAUUGAAGAAACCUAGUUGAUUUCUCAAGAGAUUAUAAUGAGUUUCUUUAUUUCUUUUAGAUAUAUUGCAUCUUGGAUGUAUUUACUUUCAAGAUGAACCCUACGAUGAAUUAUGUCGUUUGAUUUUUUUUUACACAAUAAAUACUUAGAUUUUGUUAUCAA